GGGAAUCACCAGAAGUUUCCACCAAUAAGGUCACUGGGGACAUUUAUAUCUGAAUCUCAAAACCUGACUCCUAAAAGCAUGAAGAGUGAUGACAGCAAAAAAAACAGAAUUCGGAAGGCAGCAGGGCUUCCUAGGCAGGCAUGGCCCCAUCCUGGUGGACGGGAUCCCAGUCAGAGAAAGCAAGUAUGUGAAUCAUCCUGCAACAUAUCAGCUUAAGGCAACAAAGGAAAAAUAGUCCAUGGGAAGAUGAAAAUAAAAUGCCUAUUAAAACUGACUCUUUAGGAAUAUGUUGGUUUCAUAGACAGAGACAUGGCAUGUCACACCAUGGGCCAUGAACUUACGAGUAGCUAGUAACGUGGGAUCAGAUGGAGGAAAUGAAGGCGACAAAAGGAUGCAUCUCUUGAAGCAAAAAAAUAAUCAUGGCAACACUUCAUUCAUGGUUACAACAAGAUCAUCUGACUCCAAUGAUAAUCAGCCAGUCCACAGGAUCACCAUUAGCUCAGUCCGUGAAACACCUGAACAAAUGCCAAAGGAACUUGGAUGUAUUCCUCAUUCUGCAUUUUCUUUAUUUUUUUCAUUUAAACAUCUGUUUUCCCAUGUUGACAUAUGAGCUCAUAACUUACAGAACAAAGACAGCCCAGGCCUUCAUGCAAUGGCAUGCCUGUGUAGGUAGUGCUGGCCUUUCUAAUGCUUUCGAGGUACCAGUUCUGCUCUUUAGAGUUGCCAAAAUUUAUUGCCACUAUGUAAAGAAUGAAAAGAGGCACUGAAAACUUCUUACACAGGGUAUCACUUUGAGAACACAGUCAGAAGUUACAGCAUAAUGUAAUGAGGGGUAUUGGUUAAAUACAACUUUUUGAGGAAAACAUGACCACGAUUACUUCACGAAUAGCAAUGCUAUGACCACUAUCACACAUCACUUCUAUUUAACUGCACAACACCAUAGCAUUUUCAAAACAAAUGGAACACAUGCCCUAUGCUGAAGCUCCUACAUUUUAGGAUCACAGUCCUGUAAAACAUGCACUUUUUGCAGAUCCUGGGGACCUCUUCAACACCCAAUGGUAAGUAAUUCCAAUGCCAGUUUUACCAGACUCUUGGACAAGCACAGAUGGCAGGAGCGAUGGAUUCGUAGAUCUACAUACAGCAGAUGCAAAAGAACACAAUUUGGGGCUAUUUUUCUCACAGUGUGUUGUACUGAGGUAAAAACUGUGUGUUGUCUGUAUAGCACAGGAAUGGACAAGUGUUCCUGCUGCCUGGUUCGAGGGGCAGGCUGAGGAGGACAGGGAGUUAUGAUCCCUAUGUUCCAGACAAAUGGAAUCCCCUGUAGAGUGACAGAUGGUGCUUCAGCUUCUCCACUGCCUCAGCAUCUGUGCAGCACAUCUGGCCAGUUGCUGCUUAAAAGGACAAGGACACCUUCCUAUCACACCUUCCAAAUUUCUCUCAAACAUUUUCUUGUACUGAUUAUCUUUGCUACUCAACAAUGAAUGAGGCUGGAGAGCUAAACCAGCACCCAACUGUUUGCAUUUUCCAGUGCUGGUUUUCUGCUAAAUUGGCCUCUUGAUCCAGCUCCCUGUGAGUGGUCAAGGACAUUUCACUGCAGUUGGGAUGAGCCUCUGCAUCUCCAGGGUUGACCCCAGGCCACCAGGAUAUGCAGAAACCUUCAGCACUUUGGGACUGAUGCUGGUUCUCCAACCUCUCACCCUACAAACAAACUGCUUCUCACCAGCACCUUUCUCCCAGACAAUCUGACAGGAUAAGAAAGGAUUUCCCAGCCGCAGUGUCAGGGAUCUUCUGUGACAGGAAUGCACAGCCUUGCUGGAAUGAGUGGAGAUGAAAGCCACCUCCAUGAAGGCUUGGGACCUUCUGACUGAUGCUUGUGUUCACCAAACAAGCAUUUCCACACUAUGAUUAAUUGUGUUGUCUCAUCAGUGAAGUAAUGCUGCUGUUGUGUUCUGGUUCAGGGUUCUUCUGAAGAGCUUCUCUCUCCUCUGUGAGGGUGCUGGGAGGUCUUGUUGUAUGCUCUUGCAGAAAGUGAUGGCAGCACUUGGCCCCUAGCAGGAGCAUCGGUCCAGAUGUCUACAUCUUCAGUCAUAUAUAUAUGGAACCAUAGAAACCUAUGAAGCUGCUUUUAGCAGGCCCUGCAGAAAUUCAACUAGAUGCUGUCCCCGCCCUAAGAGACUUGCAAUCUAAUCUGGGAGAAGAUCAAAUGGAAAAGGAAAAAGAAAAACAUAAAAUAAUAACAGCAAAUGUUUAUAUAGCUGCUUGCACAACACAGUAACUAUAAGGAGCUACAGUCUUAAAGAUUCAAACAAAAUUAACUAUUAAGAGGAAGCACUCUGUAUUUGCACAGAGAAUCCAGGGAAGAUUUUGAGAAACCAAGAUGAUGACACAGUAGACGCAGACCUUCAAAGUUUUCAGGUACCUAUCUCCCAUGGGAGCUACCAGUGGAAGGGAAUGUGGUUGUCUGAUGAUUGCAGUGCUUUGCAGUACGGCUGAGAAACUCAAGCCCAACUCUAUGCAAUCUCGGGUACUGCGACAAGAGUGCUCCCUCUCCUACUACAUCCAACUGGAUUCAGACUGCAUUUUUCAUACUUGUGCUAAAUCACAACAGGGCUCAGACUGCCCUUUCUCCACCACUCCUUGCUCCUGUGUAUACUCAAUCUGGGAAAUACUGUACAUAAAGUUCCAGCAAUGCGGGGAUAGAGGAACUUUGUGCUUAGGAGAUCCCACGCCUAAAUCAAAAGUCCAGGACACAGCCAAUUUCCAAGUUACUUUUAAAAAUCAGAUAGUGUAAGCAAAUUUAUGUAAAGUAAUGCUGAUUGUAAUCCCACAGAGUAGAACUGCCAGCAGUGCUAAAUCAGAUUUAAACCUCAAUAGUUCCUCUUUCUUACCGCUGUUUUCCUGCUUUAUUCUUUCAUGCCUCGGUCUGUAUAGAUGAACAGAGCAGGAAUGAUAAAUGUGUUACAUAUAGCACUAUUUAUGCCACAUCAGGCUUAUACGUUUUCAUUCUAGAAGAAAGAAAAACUACCUCUCCUAAGAUCAAGAUUCUAAGGAGAGGAUUGUUGUUUUACUUUAUGCAUGAAAACAUUCAUGUUUCAGACAGCCAAUGCCUACAGCAAUGAAGAGGGAAGAAGGGAAGAUAAGAAGGGGCUUAGGCAUUCAGCUUUAUCUUUUUCCCUUCCUUUGUCUCUCUCUCCUUCCAGACACACAAAAAGUAAGGAGCACUCAACAAUUAGCUCUUAACAAACCAGACCAAAACCCAAACAAAUCUCCUGAUCCUUAUCAGAGUGAUGACACAGCAACACAGUAUGUAUAGAAGAAUGAAGAAAAUAUUUUGCAAGUAUACUGGCUCCUGAGAAGGCAUUUUAUGAUGGGUUGUCACUUGCUGCCAAUUCUUCACAAAAAUCAUAUUGCACAAGAAACUGUGUGAUGCGAGAAGAUCAACAAUGUAUCCCCUGCCACCUGAGUCCCCCAUCUGACUGCACGUAUAACCUAGAAUAGAAAAGCUGUUUGUCUUCUUAUCCAUCUUUGAAGUCUAGCAGUUCAACGUUACAUACUGAAGGCAGGCAUUAAUAAACACUUAAUGUCAUAUGUCACACUGGCCUGAAAGUAAGACUUUGAAAAGUGUUAAAUGUUAUCCUGGAGAUAUUCAUCCCUGCUAGUUACAAAGCAGGAGGAAACAGGACUUGCUCAUGGCUUCAAUUCUUAGCCUUUGGCAUAUAUCUCAGAGGAAAUACCUUUAUUUCAAAAGCAAAUUCUGAAACUCUUAUUCUGAUUAAAUUGUCUUCAGCAUAAACAGCUGCUGUGUCAUUCAAGUUUAUGCUGGAUACUCAAUGGAAAAGUCCUUCACAGUUGUUUGUGGUUAUUUUCGGUGGAUGAAAUGGGUUCAACAGUAAGCAUGGGUAGAACUUCUAUCCACACAGUAGUAACAGCAAUAGUAAUAAUAUAAAUAAAACAUCAUCUGCUAUUAUCUAGUUUUGCCAAGAAACUUCUUAUCAGAAUUAAGAAUUUCCAGAUCUGUUUAUUUCUAGGUGUUUGUGGAGUACUUCAAUAUAUAUGUUAAACAUCAGAGUAACAUUUCUGUUCAGGAGUGAUGAUACUGCCUAGGAAUUACCUCUAUGCUUUCAGAAGUUGGUCAUUCUCUGAAGAGAGUCCUGAAGACAAGAUCAGAAACAAUAAUGAAGAAAACUUAAAAUAAAAGGUUGGAAUGAAAUGGCCUCCUGGAUGACCAUGCAACAAGAUCCAGACAGCAAAGAAAAAAAAUCAAACCCUCAAUCAAAAAAAUCAUGAUACUGUUAUAGUUCCCUUAGCAUAGCAUGCCAAGGACCCCAAGCAAAAAUAGUUCUGGUUUUCUCAGCUGAAUGGCUCCUGAAAAAAGUCUAGAUGUACAGAAAGGAAAUGGAUAUAAUUCCUGCAGAGGAUGGGCUUUGAUACCACAGCUCAGAUAUGGAAAAUAAUUCAAAGUGUACGAGAGAGGUCACAGAAUUUUGACUGCAGAUAUCUAGCUAUCUCCUACUAUUUCUUUUGCCCUGUCUUUCUCCAGCUGGAAUAUUUCUCUUAAGCAAUGGACAGGAAAUAAUACAAUGAAACACGUUACUGAAAUCAGAGUUCUCUGUCAGCUUCUUACACCAUGAGGUGAACUUCAUUGUAACUCCUCUGACUUUCUGGACUUAAAUAAGGGAGAGAGGGAAUUAAUGAGUACAGUAGGAAGAAUGACAGUAAAAAUAGACUCACUUUCAAGAGUUACUGUGAAGUACAUCAGGGUUUGAAAUUUGCUAUAUAUUGGCCAGGCUUGUAUGAGUUGCCCCCGUUAAAAAAAACACCCAAUUGAAUUCUGGUCUGAAAGAAUUCAAAUCUUAAUUUACAUUGUCAGUAGCAAUUCGUGUGAUUCAGUAACAGGAAAUGUUUGUACUCAAAUGCCAUAAACAAACCCUACUAAGAAAAGUUUGUUUUUAACAGCUAGAUCACUUAUCUUUGCUUAGCAUAAGUAUUUUUUCCAAGAAAUCAUAAAGAGAAACAUACAUCUAGAAAUUCUGCGCUGCAUAAAAACAUAAAUAUGCCAGACUUUAACUGUGCUUUAAUCAAGAUCAUUUUAAAUAUACGUACAUUAAAGAUUUAGCUCCUGUUUUAUUGGUGUUCCGGGUCCCAGGGCUGACGUGCUGAGCAGGGUGUCGGGGUUGCAUUGGAUGAGCAGUAUCUGCCAUCUGCUGGAGGGACGUCUGCUAGCACUGAUGAGGCUGGAAUGAUUUGGUCAGGUGGCCAAACACAGGAAAACUGAACUGAUAGGACUCCGGAAGAACCUGAGAAAGUGAAACUUAAUGUGACAUAACAGAGACUUUCAUAUGUUAUUUACCAGAGGGGAAAUGAGUCACGAAGUAAUCCAAUGGAAGAGGACUGGAGAUUUGGUUUAAGCCCUGACCAUUGCUCUGUACAGGAUCCCACACUGCUCUCAUUUUAGCUCAUAAACCCCACUAAAAACAUGUUUGUGUUCACAGCAUUUUGACAGAACAAUCCUCCUCUAUCCACUCUGCAGGUAUUUGCCAGAAACAGUGUUAAUAGCAUGCAGCAAUACUGCACAUUCAAAGAGAAAAGGGCCUCAGUCUUCUCUACUUUUUUUUUUUUUUAAUGUAAGUAAAAAAGUAUGUACGUUAAACCUGGUGAUAAAACAUCUUAAAAGGGAAACAAACCCAGUGUUCCUGUAAUGUUAUUAAUAAUACAGAUGGCUGCUGUUACACAUACAUAUGUUGCAUACAGAUUGACUUUUGCAAUAAAUUUCUCUGAGAUUUUCACAGAAAA
ensembl:lncRNA